rnacentral:rRNA from 1 species
CUGGCUCAGGACGAACGCUGGCGGCGUGCCUAAUACAUGCAAGUCGAGCGGACUUCUGGGAGCUUGCUCCCAGAAGUCAGCGGCGGACGGGUGAGUAACACGUGGGCAACCUGCCUGUAAGACUGGGAUAACUUCGGGAAACCGGAGCUAAUACCGGAUAAUCCUUUCCCUCACAUGAGGGAAAGCUGAAAGAUGGUUUCGGCUAUCACUUACAGAUGGGCCCGCGGCGCAUUAGCUAGUUGGUGAGGUAACGGCUCACCAAGGCAACGAUGC